GCAAGUAAUGACAGCUUGUAUGUUUUGAUAAACAAUGUGGCCUACCUUUCUUUUUGAGAUAAAUAGCUUACUCUAGGAAUGGAGAAAAAUUCAAUGAGAGCUGCCUUUCUUUAUGACCAGGACUUCAUUUUUUUUUUUUUUCAAGAAUUAACAAUAUCCCUUUAUUUGCUCUUAAAGCAGUUUAUCAAGCUAGUAAAGUCCUCAGCUGACGCAGCCAGUCUUGGCAACAGCAGACUCAAUCACAACGUCAGAAUCUCGCUAUACGCAGAAGUGGUAACUUCUUAUACAAAGUGGGAAAGCUCAAUUUGUAAUUUUUGAAGAGUUAAGCUAGAGGAGCUUAUCUUGUAGGAGAUAAAGCAGCGAUUAUGCUUGUACUCACAGGGUUUGCAGAUGUCCUACUGGAACCGAGACAGUUUUCCACUAUGGGAACGUUGUCACAGAGAGGAUUUUUAGGACAUUUUAAAGGUUUACCAAAAGAAAACUUAUGAUCACAUCAAACUGGCAAUAUUUUAUUUGCCUCUUUGACUGCUUUGGUAUAAAGAUCAGGACUCUGAACGUGCUUCUAUAAUUUAAAUAGUUUGAUAUGGUUGAUCAUUCUGGUAGUAGUGAGAUUUCCCCUCCAUUUUUAAGUAAAGAUAAACAUUUUCAAAUAUGAAAAUUAGGGGGAAUUUAAUUUUAGCAAAUUUAUUUUUAAGCUUUUAAAAAUAUAAGUGGUAGAAACUGAUAGUUUAUAUAAUCAGUUUUUUUUUUUUAUGGUUUUUCUUUCUUUUUUUUUUAUUAAUGUUAUGAUAGAUUACAAGCUUGUGAGAUUUCAGUUGUACAUUUUUGUUAGUCAUGUUGUGGGUACACCACUUCCCCCUCCGUACCCUCCCCCCACCCCCCCUUUUCCCUGGUAACCACCGAUCAGAUCUCCUUCUCAAUAUACUAAUUUCCACCUAUGAGUGGAGUCAUAUAGAGAUCGUCUUUCUCUGACUGACUUAUUUCGCUUAACAUAAUGCCCUCGAGGUCCGUCCACGUUGUUGUGAAUGGGCCAAUUUCGUCUUUUUUUAUGGCUGAGUAGUAUUCCAUUGUGUAUAUAUACCACAUCUUCUUUAUCCAAUCAUCAGUUUCUGGGCAUGUAGGCUGGUUCCACGUCUUGGCUAUUGUAAAUAAUGCUGCGAUGAACAUAGGGGUGCAACGGACUCUUGAGAUAUCUGUUAUCAGGUUCUUAGGAUAGAUACCCAGUAAUGGGAUGGCUGGGUCAUAGGGUAUUUCUAUUUUUAACUUUUUGAGAAAUCUCCAUACUGUUUUCCAUAGUGGCUGUACCAGUUUGCAUUCC
rnacentral:lncRNA from 1 species